AUCAACUUUCGAUGGUAGGAUAGAGGCCUACCAUGGUGGUAACGGGUAACGGGGUGUUAGGGCACGACACCGGAGAGGGAGCCUGAGAAACGGCUACCACAUCCAAGGAUGGCAGCAGGCGCGCAAAUUACCCAAUCCCGACACGGGGAGGUAGUGACAAUAAAUAACAAUACGGGGUUCUUUCGGAUUUCGUAAUUGGAAUGAGUACAAUUUAAAUCUCUUAACGAGGAACAAUUGGAGGGCAAGUCUGGUGCCAGCAGCCGCGGUAAUUCCAGCUCCAAUAGCGUAUAUUAAAGUUGUUGCAGUUAAAAAGCUCGUAGUUGAAUUUCGGGGUCAGUAGAUUGGUCGUGCCACUGGUAUGUACUGGUCUUACUGGCUCCUCCUUCCUGAUGAACCGUAAUGCCAUUAAUUUGGUGUUGCGGGGAGACUGGACUGUUACUUUGAAAAAAUUAGAGUGUUUAAAGCAGGCUAACGCUUGAAUACAUUAGCAUGGAAUAAUGAAAUAGGACGUUCGAUCUUAUUUUGUUGGUUUCUAAGAUUGACGUAAUGAUUAAUAGGGAUAGUUGGGGGCAUUAGUAUUCAAUUGUCAGAGGUGAAAUUCUUGGAUUUAUUGAAGACUAACUACUGCGAAAGCAUUUGCCAAGGAUGUUUUCAUUAAUCAAGAACGAAAGUUAGGGGAUCGAAGACGAUCAGAUACCGUCGUAGUCUUAACCAUAAACUAUGCCGACUAGGGAUCGGAUGAUGUUAAUUUUUUAAUGACUCAUUCGGCGCCUUACGGGAAACCAAAGUGUUUGGGUUC
rnacentral:rRNA from 1 species